CUUUCUUUUACAAUGUAAGUAUCCAGAUAUUCACUAAUAGAUUCCAAGGGGUUUGUGUUCUGUUUACAGUGGACAAUGGCUGAGGGAGAAGCAAAGGAAACUAUUAGCAAUUAUUUUCUUGUCUUGUUAAAGAAGGAAAGGUCUUUUGUCACUUUCGGGGCCCACAAACGCCAUUGAUGUGCAACAGGAAGGAUUUGGUUUCUGGGAACUUGAUUUAAAUUACCUGGACGAUGAGCUCUUGUACAAGAUGGAUUACACUGCAUAAAGAAUGGGACCAUAGCAUACCUGGUCAGGAGGGCUUAAGUUUUCCUGGCUCGACUUAAAUCCCAGGAGAAGCUGUUGUCUCUCCAUCAGCUUUGCAGUCAUCUAGUUUGGUUUGAGAAAGCCCCACACAUUAUCCCAUGCACACAGCAUGAUGGAGAACAACAACAAAAAAGAUGCAGAACUCUCUGCACCAACAAUAAUAAUUCAAAAGCAGAGUUGGAAAAGCACAUAUAUUGCAGAAGGAAGGAAAACCUGGGAAUCUGACGGCAGGUUUCUGCACAGUAUCAAAAUAUAUGACUUCUAGUGCCCUAGGUGGAGAACAAAUGAUUUCAUAUCAUUUAAGUGUUAUGGUUCCGGCUAAUGAAACACUUCAAAGAACUUCCAGGCCCUAAAAGUCUUUUAUUGCUUCAAAAUGUCGGCACAGGCAUAACAAAGUCUAUGCUAAGAUCUAAG